rnacentral:miRNA from 1 species
UAUGUGUGUGUGUGUGUGUGUGCAUGUAUAUAUAUAUAUAUAUAUAUACAUGCACACACACACACAUACAUUCU